AAGGAAGAACUCUUCCGAAGCGAGGACUUUCGGGUUACAGCAUGUUUGGAAUCGCAUCGGCAUCAUGGUGUUCGGCUACUGGCGGCUCUUCACCUGGAACAGAGAGAGGAGGCGCCUGCAGGUGGAGGAGCUGGAGGCCAGGAUACGCUGAUGCGCUCCUGCAGGCGG